rnacentral:rRNA from 1 species
GAUGAACGCUGGCGGCGUGCCUAAUACAUGCAAGUCGAGCGAACGGACGAGAAGCUUGCUUCUCUGAUGUUAGCGGCGGACGGGUGAGUAACACGUGGAUAACCUACCUAUAAGACUGGGAUAACUUCGGGAAACCGGAGCUAAUACCGGAUAAUAUUUUGAACCGCAUGGUUCAAAAGUGAAAGACGGUCUUGCUGUCACUUAUAGAUGGAUCCGCGCUGCAUUAGCUAGUUGGUAAGGUAACGGCUUACCAAGGCAACGAUGCAUAGCCGACCUGAGAGGGUGAUCGGCCACACUGGAACUGAGACACGGUCCAGACUCCUACGGGAGGCAGCAGUAGGGAAUCUUCCGCAAUGGGCGAAAGCCUGACGGAGCAACGCCGCGUGAGUGAUGAAGGUCUUCGGAUCGUAAAACUCUGUUAUGAGGGAAGAACAUAUGUGUAAGUAACUGUGCACAUCUUGACGGUACCUAAUCAGAAAGCCACGGCUAACUACGU